UGAGGAAUCUUGCGCAAUGGGCGAAAGCCUGACGCAGCCACGCCGCGUGCCGGAUGAAGGCCCUAUGGGUUGUAAACGGCUUUUACUAGGGAAGAACGAGAGGGUUUUGAUCUUCUGUGACGGUACCUAGUGAAUAAGCACCGGCUAACUCCGUGCCAGCAGCCGCGGUAAUACGGAGGGUGCAAGCGUUGUCCGGAAUCAUUGGGUGUAAAGGGUACGUAGGCGGGAGCCUAAGUCUGGGGUGAAAUCUUGCCGCUUAACGGUAAAAUUGCCUUGGAUACUGGGUUUCUUGAGUGCAGAAGAGGCAGGUGGAAUUCGUGGUGUAGCGGUGAAAUGCAUAGAUAUCACGAAGAACACCAGUGGCGAAGGCGGCCUGCUGGUCUGCAACUGACGCUGAGGUACGAAAGCGUGGGGAGCGAACAGG
rnacentral:rRNA from 1 species